rnacentral:lncRNA from 1 species
AGUCGUCUAAAAUCUUAAAAAUUAUGGAGGAUAAAUUUAUAUAGAAAAUAACUUUAAUCAUCGAUACAAAAGAACUAUCACUCUUUAAUAAAAUUACGAUGAUAAUUGUAGUGGGCCAAAUUUGCCCGGCCCAAACAAACACAAAAGACCAAAACAAAAUAUAAAAUAAAUCAAUAAACAAAAAGUUUAAAACACAAAUAGCCCAUUUUAAUGUCCUUUUACAAACCAAAUCAUUGCAAGCCCAAACCAAUGCCCAAGACCCAAAUAUAGGCCCAAUACCCUAAAGCCCAACUAUGCCUAGCCAUCCUAAACUCUUUUCGGCCAAAAGAGAAGGGGAAAACCCUAAGCGCCGCUCAGCAGCCACACCGAGCCUUUAGUGCCGUACGACCAGCACGCAGUCCUCAUAUGCCUCACGCCAAGGGCCAACGCACAGCCCCGUACUCUUACCUGCAAAAGAGAACAAACGAAAGCAACAAAAAUACGAAGAAAGAAGAAUUGUAUUUUAUUUUAUUUUUUUUACAUUCGGCUAUAAAGCCUAUUAAUUUCGAUUGUAAACUGGUUUUUUUUUGGGGAACGAACGCAAGCAAUACGAACGCAAUACAAACAGACACCAUUUGCAUAUUGAAAACAAAGAAAAGGCCACCUAUUCGAAGGUGAUUUUUCGAUUUAGAUUUGUGGGCAUUCCUCUUUUUUUAUUGUUCCUCGUUUUGUGUUGUUUUUUUUUUAUUUGAAAGCAAAUAAAGUGAAGGGGAAAGGACUUACCUUCGCAUACGAGCCAUCGGAGACCUCGUCUCCUUCGCUGAAAUCGAAGUCGAAGAUGGGAUUUCAGGGCUUAAAUCGACGAACACCACGCUAGAGUAAACAGAGGAGCAAAAGGGAGCCACCGAAGGUCGUCAUUCAUCGUCGUAGUGAUGAAACUACGGCCGAACGGCGCAGAACCUUUGGGUUCCCCCCUCUCCCCAUUGUUAUGACUGAAAUGCCUAGGGUUUUUAAGGGCUUUGUCCUCUUUUAUUCGGUGAUGCGAAACGGUGUCGUUUAAAGCAUGGUUUGUAGCUUUAAAACGACACCGUUUAGAGACCCUGACCCGAUCCAUCCCCAGGUGCCCAAGGACCCGCGCGUUUUCGCGGUGAGGGUUAUUUACAGGCUUGGUCCUUUCCCUUUCGCCCAAUUUCCAGAUCAGUUAAUAUUCAUAUUUUUUUCUUUUAAAUUUUACCCAUAAUUUGUGUGCGUUUGUAUUUUGGUCCGCAUGGGUGUUGCGUUUUGGGAGCCUGGAAUAUUUCCAGAUCGAGCCCCUGUGUAUUUGCGCGCAUCGCAUAUUGGUCAUUUCUCUUAUUGUUUUGUUUUUAAAUUAUCCCUUUGGUUUUGGAUUGUUUCUAAUUAAACCCUCUUAGUUCAUAGCCCUUUGUGUUCUUAAUUAAUCAUUUUUAAUUUUUAAACAACUUUGAGUAAUUGUUAUUUCAUCAUUGUAAACUUUUUUUGCAAUGUUAACAUCACAUUUUGUACAUUUUAAAUGUUUAUUUCCUUUGUAUUAUUAUACAUAUACGUAUGUAUUAUAAUAAAGUUAAUAUAUUUUUAUACAUAUAAUGGCUUUGACUCUAUCUAUGUAUUUUAAUAUUUUUUAUUCAAAUAUGCUUUAUAUAUAUGUUUUACAUGGGAUUCAAGUUAUUUUAUAUCCAUUUAUAUUAGCACAUGUAUUUGAUUCACACACAUUACUAAACCUAUAUAUAUAUAUUAUUAUCUCUAUGUUAUCUGACAUAUAUUUACUUUUAAAUUUAUAUGUAUAUAUAUUAAUACACUUUUUACUUUAAUAGUUUUUUUAUCUAAAACACUUUCUGCUUCGUGAUAUAUCAUGUACUUUUUCUCUAUGUAUAUACAAAAUAAUUUUGGAAACUUCAUUUUUUUUGUAAUUAUAAAAUUAUUAUUAUUUUUGAAUAUUCCUUUAUAUUAUAUGGCUUUUAUGUUUUAUAUAUAGCCCAUUAUUUUAAAUGUUUUGAUAUAAGGGCCUGUGUAUAUUUUUUAGACUAACUUAAAACUUAUAUUAUUAUUAAUCUCAUGAUUUCUUUUACAAUAAAUUUGUACGUAUAUAUUUGUAAAUCUAUUUUGUGUAUUACGUCUCAUCACGUAUUUUAUUAUCCUUUCACGUUAUAUAUAUUAUUUAAGUCAUCACGUGCUUUGUCAAUUUUCAAAUGAAUUCGUUUUUAAAACAUUUUGCGUAUGACUUAAUUCAAAAUUGUAUUCUAUAAUAUCUAUUUUAAUAAUUAUAUUCUUAUUUUCUAUGCAAAUUUAUCAAUUUAUACAUUAUGUGCUUUGAAAAUAUUCAUUCUAUGGUACAUAUAUUUUAAUGAUUGCGUGUGUUUAUUAAGCUUGUCUUUACAAAUGUUCUUUAUUUAUUGAUUUAUCAAUUCAUAUAGUAUGUGUCAUGUACUUAUCAUUGUCUUAAAAUAGUUUUAUGCCAUAUUGUUUCUUCGAUUUGCAUUUUGUUUUGUGUAUCUAGUAGUAAUCAUUUUAUGUUAUGUCAUGCAUGUCGUUGUGGCACAUUAUUUGUUCAUUUUUCUUAUUUCCAUGUUAACUAUUCAUCAUGCAUGAUUGAAAUCAAAUUAUAUUUCCAAGCUAGUUAUGCUUAGUUGUUUAAGUGUUUGUUAGCCGAUUAAAUAAUUGAAUUACCUUCAUUUUUUUUCAUGCGCACACAUAUUACCCCAUUCAUUGCUCCACUUGAUUUUUGAAAUGUGGUUCUAUAAAACCCAAAUUUUAUGAUUAAUUUCGUCUUAUUUCAAAUCGAGUUAAUAUGUUUUAAGCUAGUUUUAUAAUCAUUCAAAAAUUCUUUAAAAAGAAGACGAGAUUUGAUAUUUGGCAAUUCGCGGAAUCGUGCCCUAACGUGUUGGGUUGCAAUUUCGUGUUUGCUCAAAAUAAUCGAAUAUCACUUCAAAAUUUCACUUAUGUCUUUUAAAACCCCUUAAACGAAGGCGAUGUGCAAUAUUUGGCAAUUCGUGGAAUCGUGCCCUAACGUGUUGGGUUGCAAUUUCUCGUUUGCUUAAAAUAAUCAAAUAUCCCUUCAAAAUUUCACUCAGGUUUCCUAAAAAUCUUUCAAAACGAAGGUGAUAUUCAAUGUUUGGCAAUUUGAGAAUCGUGCCCUAUCGUGCUGGGUUACGCUUUUUCAUUUGUUCGAAACAAUCGAAGAUCCCUUUGGAAUUUCACUCACUUUUUCCAAAAACUCUUUAAAACGAAAGAAAUGUUCGAUGAUUGGCAAUUCGGGGAAUAGUGCCCUAUCGUGCUGGGUCGCAAUCUCCCGUUUGUUCAAAAUAAUUGAAUAUCUCUUCGGAAUUUCACUCAUGUUUUCUAAGGUGAGGCAAUGGUCAAUGUUUGGAAAUUCGAGAAUUCGUGCCCUAUUGUGCUGGGUUUCGAUUUUCCGUUAAACUAAAUAGUUGAGCAUCCUUUUGUGAUUUUCAAAUUAAAAAUUUCGGACGUCGAAACAAGAAUAUUUUUGGCAACCAACUCGGGUUAUUCAAAUGUUAUUAAAAAAAACCACAUUUCAAAAACAUUCUUAAUUUUAGACAUAAGGACAGUAUUUAAUCGGUUUGGUACCAAUUUUGGGCGUAGUGAGGGUGCUAAUCCUUCCUCAUACGUAACCGACUCCCGAGCCCAUUUUCUCAUAUUUUCGUAGACCAGAAUCAAUGUUUUAGUAAACCAAAAAUGUUUUAUUAAAAUAACCAAAUCCUUAGGUGAUCCGAUCACACCAAAACAAAAGAUCGGUGGCGACUCCACAUUUCUUUUUAUCAAAGUCGAUUCCCCAUUUCUUUUAAACUUAAAAUUUUUUAAAUAAAAAGGGUGGUUUCGACAACUUGGCGACUCCACUAGGGACCGAAUAAGAGAGUCUAGCCAUAAAAUCGAUUAUUUGUUAUCUUUCUGUCAAAAAUCCAAAAACUUAUUUUAAAAAUCAUGUUCUUUCAAAUGAAUUUUUUUGUAUGGUCGGUUCAGGUUUUAGAAUAAUAUUGCAUUUCAUUGCAUGACCGCUGUGGUCACACCUUCUAAUUGGGAGUAAAAAACUACGCUUUCGUGAGGUUUUCACCUCCGCAUGGGCUAGUGGAUUGCUUCCGAGGUACAUCCGUACCUAUGAUUUCGUGAGAUUUUCAUCUCUGAAUGGUCAUAGGGAAAUGUAUCCCCCCGAACCGAACUCAAUCUAUAUGAGCCUAUAAUGGGUGAGGAUUGAGGAAUCUACUGGUUCGGGUACCCUUACUCUAGAACCGAGCCACAUGUAGAGAGACCUUAAGAGCUAUCCUUGGGUGAAGCGUGUCAAGCCCUAGUACUUACCAAUAUACGCGUUAUAAUUAUCGUUGAUGUGCUUGCAUUCUAUCGCUAUUAUUUGAUACUAACUGGUGUUUUGUUUUGAUUGCGUGACAUUGCAUACUAAAGGAGGUUUUAAUCCGUAUUCAAUUACUAAGUUAGAAAGUUUGACAUGGAGAAUGAAUUUCUUAGUAAAGUCGAGGAUAAUGCAGCCGUUCGUGCAUGGUCGAAGAGGCUACAAUCAGAGAGGGGGGAUAGCUUGGCAGAAGGGUAUGCAUCGGAGCUGCAGGAUUUCACUCGCGUCAAUGUAGUACAGAAUAAGCUGCAAGAGUUGAGAGACAUUUGGGCUAGUUGGGAUGAAGGGAUCAAGUAGUUAUUUUACCAAAGCUAUGAUGACAUAUCCUACCUGCUAGACAUUAGAGUGGAUAAGUAUUUGUUCCGAGUCUUGGUGCAGUUUUGGAAUUCUGCGUACAAAUGUUUCACUUUUGGAGAAGUGGAUUUGGUACCUACCAUGGAGGAAUACACUACGCUGCUUAGGUGUCCAAAGAUUCAGGUCUGGAAGACAUAUGCCCGAGUUUUUAGUAGUCAGACCUUCGUGAAAAAAAUUGAUGAGCAUUUCUGGGAUAAGCGAACCUUGGGUUACUGCUAGGAUUCAGCAAAAAGGAGACAGUAAAUGUAUCCCUUGGGAGAAUUUGCGAGAUUUGAUCUUGACGCAUCCAGAUGAAAGAAAGAGGGUCGACAUCUUCGCCUUAAGCAUCUACAGAUUGGUAAUUUUUCCUAAGGCUUUGAGGCACGUGGAUGAGGCAGUCAUUGACUUACUCGAUUGACUUGAAAAAAGAAUCACUUCGGUAUCGGCGAUAUUGGCAGAAACGUUCAGAUCUUUGAGCUCAUGUCAGAAGACAGGCGAGGGGCAGUUUAUUGGAUGUGCACAGUUGUUGAUGGCAUGGUUUCACGGGCACUUUUGGAAGGUAGACAAGGUUUCCUAUCGGGUCUUUUCCAAAGGUUAUUCCCCAUUAAAAAAAGAGGCAGCUAUACAAAGGAGAGAGGAUAUCUCGGAGGAGAAGUGGAUGGACAUUCUUCAGAACCUCAAGGAGGGAGAUAUUGAGUAGAGAGCUUAUUGGAUGGUUCCUGAUGAGAUCAUGUACCGAUGUGGUAACUUUGAUUGCGUGCCGUUGUUAGAAAUUUGGGGAGCUACCGGGUAUACUCCAUUGCUAGCCUUGAGGCAAUAUAAGUCGAGGCAGUUUGUACCCACAACCUACGGACUUGCUCAGAGUGAAUUCUCUUUCAAGGGCGCUCACUAUAAGAAGAGAGUUCGGGAGUUAUCGGAUGCUUGGAAGCAAACUUAUUGGAUGAAGAGGUUAGCCGUCGGUUCCAUGAUAAUGCCCGAGUAUAAUGAGUGGUUUAAAAAGAGGGUUAAUGAUAAUAUUCCUAGGCCAAGCUUGGAGAAUGCUCGACCUAUCGGGGAACAAUUACAAGUCGCUCCAUCAGAAUUAGAGAUUAUAAGGCAAGAUUUCGAGAAGAAGAGUUUGGAGCUUGGGAAGAAGAUCGAACAAUUGGAGGAAGAGAAGAUCCACCUGAGAUUAGACGCUGAUGUUCAGAGGUCAAAGGCUGAGAAGUGGAGAAAAGGAAAAACUAAGGCCGAUGAAGAUCUAGACAGCUUGAAGACGGACUACAAGAAGUUGCGCCUAUCUAUGAGGACUGCGGGUUUAGGUAAGACUUCCGAACAAUGGCGCCAUGAAAUUCGAGAAGAAAAGGCCAAUACCGACCGGUGGGAAAGGAAAUUUCGAGAAGCUCAGGCACGAAAUGAAGAUUUGGAAAAGAGUCUGUCGGAGAGCAGAAAUGAGCGAGGUGAAUUAAGGGCUAGAGUGGCAGAACUCGAGAAGUCUUUGCAUCAGUACCGAAACCGCAACACCAUAAUGGAAUUGAGGGCAAGCUUGAGCAAGAUAGAAGAAAUGAAAGGAAAAAUAGAAGAGUUAGAGGCGUCACUGUAAAACUGUGAUACACGGAUCCAGUUUCUCGAGGCAAACAAGGAUCAUUGGAAAGAGCAGCUUCACCAUGCGCAAGACCAAGUCAAAAACAGAGAUUACCUUAUGGGGGAAGCCAUAACCCAGAUUCGGGAGGUAGCUGACUACUUGCAAAUUUUAGCGGUUCAGGCGAACACACUGAGCGUGAAGUAUGAGUUGGAGUCGGAUCGCGGACAAGAGCUGGCCUUAUUGCUUAGAAAAAUUAGGACUUUGAGUGUUAGAGCGAAAUUUUAUUUGAAAGAGUUUAUUUUCAAGUGAAAUUUUCUAAGGGCAAUUGAAUCAAAAUUAAUGCCUCCUUUGCAUUCAUGCAUUUGCAUUACAUCAUAUCAUUAUGCAUUAAAGGCCAUAAGAGUUUUCUAAUUAAUUAAUCAAAAAUUAUUUCAGUAACCUAGAAACCAACGAAAACCAACCAACCACGCACCCCUACGGUACAAGGAAAAAAUCAAUGGAUAAGAGACUCGAGAAAUUGGAGCAAAUGCAAAAGGACAUGCAAGAACAAAUGCUGUCUCAGAUGCAAGAGCAGCUAGCCAAGAUUCAGCGAGAGAUAAAAGAGCAAAUGAUGGAGUCCCAGAGGGAAAUGAUGAGUCAGUUAUCCCAAUUGCUGUUGGUAGGAACAGAUAAGGGAAAGGGCCCUAUGGACAAAGUCGAGGAAACUAAUGAAGAUCCUCAACACCCCCUGGCUUCACUCUGACAUAUGUACCGAUGAAGCCCGAGAUUAAUCUAUCGAAACCAUCUGUCACGAUCAUGCCCCAGCAUGUUCAGGCCGAAGCUUCAGUACCGAUGAAUUUCCAAACCGUCUCAGGCUCUAACUUUGUCAACAACCCGAACUAUCCUCCCAUUCUCGAUUUGGAUAAAGUUGCUGAAGAAGAAAAGGCGAGGAUGGAUUCGCAAAAAUAAUUGGAAGAACGGUGUAGAUGGCUUGAGGAGAAAUUCAAAGCCAUAGAGAGCGCGGAUCAUCAUCAAGAGAUUGAUGCCAAGGACCUGAGUUUGGUCCCAGUGUUAGUUCUUCCCCCCAAAUUCAAAAUGCCCGGGUUCGAGAAAUACAAUGGAACAAGAUGCCCUGAAGCCCACAUCACUAUGUUCUACAGGCGAAUGACGGGAUAUGUUAACAAUGACUAGCUAUUAAUCCACUGCUUUCAAGAUAGUCUGGUCGGGACGGCGCCUAAGUGGUACAACCAAUUAAGCCGCUCUAAAAUUAACUCAAGGAAGGACCUGGCCCAGGCCUUUAUGAAGCAAUACAAUCAUGUGAUAGACAUGACCGCUGACAGAAUCACUCUCCAGAACAUGGAGAAGAAAUCGAAUGAAAGCUUCAGACAGUACGCACAAAGAUGGAGAGAGGUGGCUAUACAAGUUCAGCCACCACUUCUAGAAAAGGAGACGACGGUGCUCUUUAUAAACACCUUGAAGGCCCCUUUUAUCACUUAUAUGUUGGGAAGCGCCACCAAAAGCUUCUCCGACAUAGUGAUGACGGGGGAAAUAAUCGAAAAUGCUGUGAGGAGCGACAAGAUAGAACAGGGAGAGAGUGCCAGGAAGUCAGCCCCGAAGAAAAGAGACAAUGAAGUGAACAACACGAGCACAUUCAACAAGGGUCAAUCCAAGUCAUUCACCGUAAAUCAACCCAAGACGGUGACCACCAAUCAGCAAAGCUCUGAAUCCAACGCGAGGGAGAACACAAAAAGGCCACAAUUCACCCCUAUACCCAUGACGUAUAGGGAGUUGUACCAGGACCUAUUCAAUGCCCAUGUGGUGUCCCCUUUCUACCUGAAGCCACUGCAGCCCUCGUAUCCCAAAUGGUAUGACACAAACGCCCAAUGUGAAUACCACGCGGAAAUCACCGGGCACUCUAUCGAAAACUGCGAUGCGUUUAAGAAAGUAGUCGAAAGACUCAUUAAGAUGAGGAUCAUGAGAUUUGACAACCCAGCCACACCUAAUGUAGCAAGAAACCCACUCCCCAAUCAUACCCACCAAGGAGUGAAUGGGAUAAGUGAAGGUAGGAACAAGAAGACCAAGUAUGAGUUGGCAGAAGUUAGGACCCUGUUGAGGCGGGUAUGGAAGGAGAUGGCCAAGAGAGGAUUGAUCCCGUUGGAUUCGAGGGAAGAAUCCGAAGAAGAGAGAAACUACUGUGAGUUUCACGAUGAGGUGGGGCAUGAAAUCCAAGAUUGCGUGGAGUUCAAAGCCUUAAUGCAAAACAUGAUGAACAAUAAGGAAAUUGAGUUUUAUGAAGAAGCCAAAAACCCCGUAAAGGGAGAUAUAUGAGCAUCGGAAGGAGAAUCGAAGGCGCAGAAUCAAACAGCUAACUACCCCGUGGUCAUCAUAUCAAGACCCAAAAAUAGUGAAGCUGGAGUACAAAUGCCACCGAGGGUCAUAAUCCAAAGACCUGCAGUCUUCCCCUACAAAGACAGCAAAAAGGUCUCAUGGAAUUAUGAAUGCAGUGUGACGAUGCCAGGAAAGGAGAGCCCGGUCGACGCUUCAAGAGGGAACCAAGAUAGAGGCUCCUAUAUACGUAGCAAGAGACGUUACGAUACGGAAAAUGAGAAGGCACAACCCACAAAAGGAAAAGCCCUAGUGGUCGAGGAAAUGAAGGAGAAAGCAACCAAGCCUGUUAACGAGCCAGUUAACGAAGAGGAGGCCAAAGAGUUUUUAAAAUUCCUAAAGCAUAGCUCGGAAGUUCAUCGUAGCGCGCUGAUGAAGGUCCUGAAUGAAAUAUACAUUGCCAAUGAUAUCUCCGUUAACAAGUUGGACCACUUGGUUAGCAACAUCAGUGCCGACAACUAUAUCUUUUUCAAUGAUGAUGAGAUACCACCCGGGGGCAUGGGGUCGACUAAAGCUUUACAUAUCACCACGCGCUGUAAAGGGUAUAGCUGUCAGGUGUACUAAUUGACAAUGGGUCGGCUUUGAACGUCCUACCAUUGACCACAUUAAAUAGGUUACCUAUAGACAAGUCUCACAUGAAGGAGUGCCAGAAUAUCGUGAAAGCAUUUGAUGGCACAGAGAGAAAGGUGAUGGGCAGAAUCGAGGUACCUCUUCAGAUCGGGCCAAACACGUAUGAGGUGGAUUUCCUCGUAAUAGAUAUCAAGCCCUCAUAAAAUUGCUUGUUGGGGAGGCCCUGGAUACAUUCAGCUGGGGUAGUGCCUUCCUCGUUGCAUCAAAAAUUGAAGCUAGUAUCGGAGGGGAGGUUGAUAAAGAUCAAGGCUGAGGAGGAUAUCAUUGCAAUUGUGAGCAAUAAUGCGCCCUAUUUGGAGAUAGAUGAUGAAGCAAUCGAAUGUUCAUUUCGAUCUUUGGAAUUUGUUAACGCGACCUUCAUCGCCGAGGGAAGCAAGAUUCUGGUGCCAAAAUUGUCCAAAACCACAAGAAUGAGCCUCUAGUUGACGACUGGAAAAGGGGCCCUACCCGGAAGAGGACUUGGGAGACAUCUACAAGGAAGGGUUGAAACGCCAAUGCUGAAGGACAAGAGAGACCACUUCGGCUUAGGAUUUAAGUCGGAUGUGAAACAAAGGAGGAGGGAGCUAGAAAAGAAGCAAGAAAGAAAGAGAGCACGGUUAACGAGGGAGAAAAUCAAAUGGGAACCAAUGACAUUUCCCCAUAUAUCGAAAACAUUUGUGUCUGGGGGAAUCAUUCGUCCCGAGAAAGACACGCCAAUGACGGGAGCUAUAGAAGAAAGGCUGGAAAGCUUGGACAUCAACGUCAUGUACGAAGAGGAGACUGGAAGAGAAAAUUUGUCGUGCAUUUGCCCCUAUACACCUAGAAGUGUUCUGGACAACUGGACUGCGGAAGAGAUUCCUGUAGUUUUUAGAACGGAUUCAGAGUAAUGUCUAAAACACACUUAUUGCUCUAGGCCUAGGAGUAAUAAGAAUCUUUUGUGAAAUAGGCUGAUGUUUAAAAAUGUUAUUUCAAUAAAAUAUACGGUUAUUAUCAUUUUUGAGCAAAUGUUCUCUCAUCCUUUCAAUUUCAUUCAUAACCAUACAAAUGAUUACUUUCGGAUUCUUUUAUUCUUGAAACAUUCUUCUAAAUAUUCUUUCAUUCGUCAUCCAUAAUCAUACCACGCAAAUAAAUGUUUCGAAUUCUUUUGAUUCUUUGUAUCUGUCUUCAUCCUCAUAACAGGUCCCCAGAUAUUAAUGAUACGAGUAAUAUUGCUAGCGACUCAGAAUUUCCUUUCGAUCGAGAUGUAUGUAUAGAGGAUUCUCAGGAUUUUGAAGAUGACCAAGGCUGUAACCUAUCUCCUGAUUUGUUGAAGAUGGUAGAACAAGAUGAGAAACAAAUCUUACCUCACAAAGAAUCAGUUGAAAUUGUGAGCUUAGGAGAAGGACAAGAGGUGAAGAUCGGAACAUGUAUCACUACGGAGAUGAAGUGAGACCUCAUUGAAUUACUUCAAGAAUUCAAAGAUGUCUUCACAUGGUCAUACCAAGAUAUGCCCGGGUUGGACACUAAUAUCAUGGUACACCGACUCUCCAUAAAGGAAGAAUGUAAGCUAGUUCAGCAAAAACUCCAAAGAAUGAGGCCCGAUGUUUUGCUAAAAAUAAAAGAAGAGGUUCGAAAGUAGUUCGACGCCGGAUUCCUAAAGGUGGUAAAAUACUCAGAUUGGGUAGCCAACAUCGUCCCCAUCCCUAAGAAAGAUGGAAAAGUACGAAUGUGUGUGGACUACAGAGAUUUGAAUAAAGCCAGCCCGAAAGACAAUUUCCCACUGCCUCAUAUUGACACCCUAGUGGACAACACAGUAGGACACUCACUGUUUUCAUUCAUGGAUGGCUUUUUUGGAUAUAACCAGAUCAAGAUGCAUCUUGAAGAUAUGGAGAAGACCACAUUUGUAACUAUGUGGGGGACGUUCUGUUACAAAGUGAUGCCAUUUGGACUGAAAAAUACGGGGGCAACUUACCAAAGAGCCAUAGUAACCCUGUUUCAUGACAUAAUGCAUAAAUAAAUCGAGGUUUAUGUGGAUGAUAUGAUCGCAAAGUCUCGGACGGAGAAAGAGCACAUACAAGUCUUGAGGAAAUUGUUCUUGAGGCUGAGAAAGUUUCAGCUAAAACUUAACCCCGCCAAAUGUACCUUUGGAGCCAAGUUUGGAAAGUUGUUCAGAUUCGUGGUUAGCUAGAAAGGGAUUGAGAUCGAUCUAAACAAAGUCGAAGCCAUACAAGAACUAUCUUCGUCGCGUACCCAGAAGGAGGUUCGAGGCUUUCUAGGAAGGUUAAAUUACAUUACUCGGUUCAUUUCACAACUGACCGAGAAAUGUGACCCUGUCUUUCACCUCCUCAAGAAACAUAACCCAGGUGAAUGGGAUGAAGAAUGUCAAAGGGCCUUCGACAAGGUCAAACAGUACUUAUCCAACGCUCCGGUACUAAUGCUACCUAACCCCGACAAGCCAUGGACACUGUAUUUGGCAGUAUUUGAGAAUUUCAUGAGAUGCGUAUUGGGUCAACAUGAUGAGUCAAGAAGGAAAGAGAAGGUUAUUUACUAUCUUAGUAAAAAGUUCACGGAAUGUGAGACAAGGUACCCUCUGAUAGAGAAGUUGUGUUGUGCCCUAAUUUGGAUAACCCAAAGGCUGAGGCAGUAUAUGUUGUAUCACACCACUUGGCUCAUAUCAAAAUUGGACCCUUUAAAGUACAUGAUGGAAUCAACAACCUUGAAUGGAAGGAUGGCCCGAUGGCAGAUUCUGCUUUCUGAAUUUGACAUAGUCUAUGUGAACCAGAAAGUAGUAAAAGGAAGUGCAAUAGCAGAUUUUCUGGCCAGUACAGCUUUGGAAGACUAUGAGCCUUUGAACUUUGACUUUUCGAAUGAAGACCUAAUGUGUGUUGCUACCACUAAAGAGAGUGCUCUGGAAGAAUUUCCUUGGAAACUGAACUUCGAUGAGGCGUCAAAUGCUGUGGGUAAUGGAAUUGGGGCAGUCUUGGUGUCCCCAAACGGAGAUCAUUAUCCAUUCACUAAUAAUUUGGAUUUUGAUUGCAUGAAUAACAUGGCAGAAUACGAAGCGUGCAUCAUGGGAAUCCGUACAGCCAUAGAACGCAAGAUUAAAAUGCUAGAGGUGUAUGGGGAUUCUGCGCUAGUGAUUUAUCAACUCAAAGGAGAAUGGGAGACCAGAGACCCCAAGUUGAUCGAUUAUCGAAAACUGGUCCUGGAAUUGGUUAAAGAGUUUGAGGACAUUACCUUCUACUACCUUCCACGAGACGAAAAUCAGAUAGCUGAUGCUUUGGCUACCUUAGCUUCCAUGAUCAAGGUAAACAAACAAGAAGAUGUCAAACCCAUCCGAAUGAGUAUUUAUGAAACUCCAGCCCACUGUUAUAAUAUUGAAGAAGGCGAAGAAAAAGAUGAUCACACUUGGUAUCACGAUAUAUUGCAAUACGUGAAGAAUUGUGAAUACCCGGGCCAAGUAAGCGAGAAUGACAAAAAAACACUGAGAAGAUUGGCUAUCGACUACGUCUUAAAUGGGGAGAUCCUAUACAAAAGGAGAAAGGAUCAGGUGCUAUUAAGAUGCGUAGACACUAUAGAAGCUAAGAAAAUCUUAGAAGAAGUCCAUGAAGGCGUCAGUGGGACACACGCUAAUGGUUUUCCAAUGGCCAGGAAAAUUAUGAGAUUCGGGUACUAUUGGUCCACCAUGGAAGGAGACUGUGUCAAUUACGCCAAGAGAUGCCAUAAGUGCCAAAUCUACGGAGACAAAAUUCAUGUGCCUCCUUCACCGCUGCAUGUCAUGGUUUCCCCAUGGCCAUUCUCUAUGUGGGGCAUGGAUGUGAUUGGACCAAUAUUACCGAAAGCUUCCAAUGGGCAUCGGUUCAUCUUUGUGGUUAAUGACUACUUCACCAAAUGGGUAGAAGCCGCCUCGUAUGCUGGUGUUACAAAAUCAGUAGUGAGCAGGUUCCUGAAAAAAGAGAUCAUAUGUCGAUAUGGAAUGCCGGAGAGGAUCAUAUCUGACAAUGCAUUAAACUUGAACAACAGUACAAUAGCGGAAGUCUGCAGCCAAUUUAAGAUCAGACAUCACAACUCGUCACCAUAUCGCCCGAAGAUGAAUGGGGCAGUGGAAGCAACCAAUAAAAAUAUUAAGAUAAUCGUGGGAAAGGUGACCAAAACCUACAGAGAUUGGCAUGAGAAAUUACCGUUUGCCCACUUUGCUUAUCGAAUGUCAGUUAAAACCUCAAUUAGGACAACCCCUUUCUCUUUGGUCUACGGAAUAGAAGCGGUGUUGCCGAUCGAAGUCGAGAUCCCGUCUCUUCGAGUGUUGUCGAAGUUAAAGUUGGAAGAAGCCGAGUGGAUCCAGUCUCGAUAUGAUCAAUUGAACCUAAAUGAGGAAAAGAGGCUAAGAGCUAUCCGUCAUGGUCAGAUGUACCAAAAGCGAAUGAUGCCGGCUUACGAUAAAAAGGUUCGCCCUAGAGAAUUCCACGAAGGAGACCUGGUUUUAAAAAAGAUCCUUCCCAUACAUAAGGAUUUUCGAGGGAAAUAGAUGCCUAAUUGGGAAGGGCCUUACGUGGUGAAGAAAGCUUUAUCCAGAGGAGCAUUGAUUCUAAAAACUUGCCCAAUCCUGUAAACUCAGAUUCGGUCAAGAAGUAUUUUACCUGAAGAAAGAGAGGCCAGAGUGAAAACCCACAAAGGGAGCUCUGAAAUCUAAAAAAAAAAGAUGGAGAGGACAAGGUGAAAACCCGCAAAGGGCACUUUGAGACCAAUGGGGCUUUUGAGUUGAAAACCCGAAAACGGGCAGCUCAAAUUUUGAAUAUGGGGCAUAUGGUAGUCUUGUCCUCCCGAAAUCAGCAAGACAGAAGAACAGUACAACUUGGAGCAUCAACAAAAUAUGCAGGAUCUCCUGAAUACACAUUCGGUUCGAAGGAGCCUUUGAGAAAUUGGAAUAGUGAAACUUGUGUUGCGAUAUCUGGGGCACCUCUUUUUUCAUUCUUAUUUUUUUACUUUAGUAGAUUUGCUAUCUUGUUUGAUGUAUUCACUUCGAGUUUUACUCAAAAAAAUUCCACUUAGUCCGUUAUGAUAAUCUCUUUCGAGUAUUUUUGUUGAAAUCGUGAUUUUUGACAUGUAAUAUUCACACAAAAGAUGUUAUGCAUAUUACUCUGAAAAGUCUCUAAAUAGUACAAGGACCUGAAACAGGGCCACUAAUCAGGACUAACCAGUUUCAAAGUUGGAAACAUUCGAAAAAGAAGAGUCCUAAUUGUGACUAUUUCUUCAAAUUUUUUAUUGAAGAUAACGGCUAAGCAAGAGGGCAUGAUAGCACAUCAAUGUUAGAACCUGGGUGAAUUAUGAGCAAUGACACCUUAAGCAUUUAAAAAGGAAUCACUCUCAUGACAUUUCUACAUUCAUAAUCAUUCAUUUAGUUAGGAGCAUUUGAUUCAUUUCGAUCAUAGCAUUCUAAUUAUUUGACAUAAACCCCACAUCUAGUUAGGGACAUUUGAUUCAUCUCGAUCAUAGCAUCCUAGUUAUUUGACAUACACAGAUACAGGAAACUCAUUCUACACAUCAUGUCUUUAGAAAACAAUGUAGCGACAUUGGCGAAUCCUGCGAAUUUGGCAUCUCUGUGUUGACAGAGAGCAAAUCGAAGAUAACAGAUUUGGCAUCUCUGUAUUGUUAGAGGUAGAUCGAAGAUAGCAGAUUUGGUGUCUCUGUAUUGGCGGAGAGCAGAUCGAAGAUAGUAGAUUUGGCGUCUCUGUAUUGGCAGAGAGCAUAUCGAAGAUAGUAGAUUUGGCGUCUCUGUAUUGACAGAGAGCAGAUCAAAGAUAGCAGAUUUGGCAUCUCUGUGUUGACAGAGAGCAGAUCAAAGAUAACAGAUUUGGCGUCUCUGUAUUGGCGGGGAGCAGAUCAAAGAUAGCAGAUUUGGCGUCUCUGUAUUGGCGGAGAGCAGAUCGAAGAUAGCAGAUUUGGCGUCUCUGUAUUGGCAGAAAGCAUAUCAAAGAUAGCAGAUUUAGCGUCUCUGUAUUGGUGGUGAGCAGAUCAAAGAUAGCAGAUUUAGCAUCUCUAUAUUGACAGAGAGCAGAUCGAAGAUAAGCAAGGAGCAGAUCGAAGAUAGCAAAUUUGGCGUCUCUGUAUUAGUGGAGAGCAGAUCGAAGAUAGCAGAUUUGGCAUCUCUGUAUUGGCAGAAAGUAAAUCGAAGAUAGCAGAUUUGGCGUCUCUGUAUUGGCAGAGAGCAGAUCGAAGAUAGCAGAUUUGGCGUCUCUGUAUUGGCAGAGAACAGAUCGUAGAUAGCAGAUUUGGCGUCUCUGUAUUGGCGAAGAGCAGAUCAAAGAUAUCAGAUUUGGCGUCUCUGUAUUGGCGGAGAGCAGAUCAAAGAUAACAGAUUUGGCGUCUCUGUAUUGGCAGGGAGCAGAUCGAAGAUAGCAAAUUUGGCGUCUCUGUAUUGGUGGAGAGUAGAUCGAAGAUAGCAGAUUUGGUAUCUCUGUAUUGGCGGAGAGCAGAUCAAAGAUAGCAGAUUUGGCAUCUCUGUAUUGUUAGAGGGCAGAUCGAAGAUAGCAGAUUUGGCAUCUCUGUGUUGACAGAGAGCAGAUCGAAGAUGACAGAUUUGGCAUCUCUAUAUUGGCAGAGAGCAGAACGAAAAUAAUAGAUUGGUGUUCCCGAGUUUCCAAGAAGCAAAUUGAGGAUAGCCAAUUUGACACUCCUGAAGACAUCAGAAUACCUUUGGGGAAGAUGAGGAUCAAGAUUUUGAGACUUAGCCAGACCAGGCAAAUUUGGUCCUUUUUAUAGUCUUUGCUCUAUUCUCGUUACAUGACAAUGAGCAAAGAGGGGCAGCUGUAGUGGGCCAAAUUUUCCCAGCCCAGACAAACAUAAAAGACCAAAACAAAAUAUAAAAUAAAUCAAUAAACAAAAAGUUUAAAACACAAACAGCCCAUUUUAAUGUCCUUUUACAAAGCAAAUCAUUGCAAGCCCAAACCAAUGCCCAGGACCCAAAUAUAGGCCCAAUACCCUAAAGCCCAACUAUGCCUAGCCAUUCUAAACUCUUUUCGACCAAAAGAGAAAGGGAAAACCCUAAGCGCCACUCAGCAGCCACGCCGAGCCUUUAGCGUCAUACGACCAGCGCGCAGUCCUCGUAUGCCACGUCCACCUUCCAUACGCCUCACGCCAAGGGCCAACGCACAGCCCCAUACUCGUACCUGCAAAAGAGAACAAACGAAAGCAGCAAAAAUACGAAGAAAGAAUAAUUGUAUUUUAUUUUAUUUUUUUUACAUUCGGCUAUAAAGCCUAUUGAUUUCGAUUGUAAACUGGUUUUUUUUUGGGAACGAACGCAAGCAAUACGAACGUAAUACAAACAGACACUAUUUGCAUAUUGAAUACAAAGAAAAGGCCACCUAUUCGAAGGUGAUUUUCCGAUUUAGAUUUGCAGGCGUUCCUCUUUUUUUAUUGUUCUUCGUUUUGUGUUGUUUUUUUUUUAUUCGAAAGCAAAUAAAGUGAAGGGAAAAGGACUUACCUUCGCAUACGAGCCAUCGGAGACCUUGUCUCCUUCGCUGAAAUCGAAGUCGAAGAUGGGAUUUCAAGGCUUAAAUCGACGAACACCAUGCUAGAGUAAACAGAUGAGCAAAAGGGGGUCACCGAAGGUCGUCAUUCAUCGUCGCAGUGAUGAAACUAUGGCCGAACGGCGCAGAACCUUUGGGUUCCCCCCUCUCCCCAUUGUUAUGACUGAAAUGCCUAGGGUUUUCAAGGGCUUUGUCCUCUUUUAUUCGGUGAUGCGAAACGGUGC